ACAGAAUGACGCCACGACUGCAGCUCUUCAUCACUUUACUGCUUCACUUUGAAGCAGGAAUCAGUGAUGGACAAAUCGAUCUCUAUCACAGACCUGGAGAUGACGUCGUUUUACCGUCUGAUGUUUAUUCUUCACGUUACCAAUGUUCUGAUGUUGCAUGGAUUAAUCCCAAAUAUCGACAUACAAAAUACAUCGUUCGUAAUGGAACUAUUGUGAAGACGUCACCUGGAGCUGACAGGAAGAGUUUGAGCAGUGACUGCUCUCUGAUCAUCAACAACAUCACUGCUGAAGAUGCUGAUUAUUACAUCUGUUGGAUUAGAAAUGGUGAUGAUUACUCCGAGACAUCUGUGUAUCUGAAUGUAGUCUCUCCAUCUCCACCAGAUGUGGAUCCAGGAAGGGAUGGAGAUGUGACAUUACACUGUUCUCUGGUGAGAUACCGUUACUUCGGUCCCUGUGAGCAGAACAGCAUCAUCUGGGUGGAUGAGACAGGAAGUGUGCUGCUUGGUGAAGGUGAUGGGUUUGUG